GAGGGGGUGGUGGUUGUAGAGGUAGUGGUGGAGGUGGAGGUGGUUGUAGAGGUAGUGGUGGAGGUGGUGGUGGUUGUAGAGGUAGUGGUGGUGGAGGUAGUGGUGAUUGUAGAGGUGGUGGAUCUGGUGGUGGUUGUAAAGGUGGUGGUUGUAGAGGUGGUGGUGGUGGUGGUGGUUGUAGAGGGGUGGAGGUGGUGGAGGUGGUGGUGGUGUUGUGGAGGUGGUUGAGGUGGUGCUGGUGGAGGUGGUGGUUUUUUU
ensembl:lncRNA